rnacentral:rRNA from 1 species
AGUAAUGUAUGGGGAUCUGCCCGAUAGAGGGGGAUAACUACUGGAAACGGUGGCUAAUACCGCAUAAUGUCUACGGACCAAAGCAGGGGCUCUUCGGACCUUGCACUAUCGGAUGAACCCAUAUGGGAUUAGCUAGUAGGUGGGGUAAAGGCUCACCUAGGCGACGAUCUCUAGCUGGUCUGAGAGGAUGAUAAGCCACACUGGGACUGAGACACGGCCCAG